CUCCGUAGGUGAACCUGCGGAGGGAUCAUUACACAAUAACAAGGCGGGCUGGACACCCCCCGCUGGGCACUGCUUCACGGCGUGCGCGGCGGGGCCGGCCCUGCUGAAUUAUUCACCCGUGUCUUUUGCGUACUUCUUGUUUCCUGGGUGGGCUCGCCCGCCCUCAGGACCAACCACAAACCUUUUGCAAUAGCAAUCAGCGUCAGUAACAACGUAAUUAAUUACAACUUUCAACAACGGAUCUCUUGGUUCUGGCAUCGAUGAAGAACGCAGCGAAAUGCGAUACGUAGUGUGAAUUGCAGAAUUCAGUGAAUCAUCGAAUCUUUGAACGCACAUUGCGCCCUUUGGUAUUCCAAAGGGCAUGCCUGUUCGAGCGUCAUUUGUACCCUCAAGCUUUGCUUGGUGUUGGGCGUCUUUUGUCUCCAGUUCGCUGGAGACUCGCCUUAAAGUCAUUGGCAGCCGGCCUACUGGUUUCGGAGCGCAGCACAAGUCGCGCUCUUCGCCAGCCAAGGUCAGCGUCCAGCAAGCCUUUUUUUCAACCUUUGACCUCGGAUCAGGUAGGGAUACCCGCUGAAC
rnacentral:rRNA from 1 species